GUUUUCACAUUGAGUGCCUUUCUAUUUCCUGGUGGCAGUUUAUAGAUUUGCAUGAGAAGAAUUCACAGAACUAGCAUUAUUUAAUCUGUCUUUGUGGAAAUAUAUUUGGCUGUUCUGUGGCCAAAA
rnacentral:snoRNA from 1 species